rnacentral:misc_RNA from 1 species
AAGUCGUAACAAGGUCUCCGUAGGUGAACCUGCGGAGGGAUCAUUACCGAGUGAGGGUCUUCGGGCCCGACCUCCAACCCUUUUGUGAACCACCUCGUUGCUUCGGGGGCGACCCUGCCGUUCGCGGCGUGGGGCCCCCGGAGCCCCUCAAACCCUGCGUAACUAAGUCGUCGGAGUUUAAACAAAUUAAACAAAACUUUCAACAACGGAUCUCUUGGUUCGG